UACGGGGGGGGCAAGCGUUGUUCGGAAUUACUGGGCGUAAAGGGCUCGUAGGUGGCCAACUAAGUCACACGUGAAAUCCCUCGGCUUAACCGGGGAACUGCGUGUGAUACUGGAUGGCUUGAGUUUGGGAGAGGGAUGCGGAAUUCCAGGUGUAGCGGUGAAAUGCGUAGAUAUCAUUUGGAACGCCAAUGGUGAAAACAGGUAACUGGGAGUGUGCUGACGCUGAGACACGAAAGCCAGGGGAGCGAACGGG
rnacentral:rRNA from 1 species